GAUGAACGCUGGCGGCGUGCCUAAUACAUGCAAGUCGAGCGAACGGACGAGAAGCUUGCUUCUCUGAUGUUAACGGCGGACGGGUGAGUAACACGUGGAUAACCUACCUAUAAGACUGGGAUAACUUCGGGAAACCGGAGCUAAUACCGGAUAAUAUUUUGAACCGCAUGGUUCAAAAGUAAAAGACGGUCUUGCUGUCACUUAUAGAUGGAUCCGCGCUGCAUUAGCUAGUUGGUAGGGUAACGGCUUACCAAGGCAACGAUGCAUAGCCGACCUGAGAGGGUGAUCGGCCACACUGGAACUGAGACACGGUCCAGACUCCUACGGGAGGCAGCAGUAGGGAAUCUUCCGCAAUGGGCGAAAGCCUGACGGAGCAACGCCGCGUGAGUGAUGAAGGUCUUCGGAUCGUAAAACUCUGUUAUUAGGGAAGAACAUAUGUGUAAGUAACUGUGCACAUCUUGACGGUACCUAAUCAGAAAGCCACGGCUAACUACGUG
rnacentral:rRNA from 1 species